rnacentral:rRNA from 1 species
AUUGAACGCUGGCGGCAGGCCUAACACAUGCAAGUCGAGCGGUAACAGAUUGAUAGCUUGCUAUCAAUGCUGACGAGCGGCGGACGGGUGAGUAAUGCCUGGGAAUAUACCCUGAUGUGGGGGAUAACUAUUGGAAACGAUAGCUAAUACCGCAUAAUCUCUUCGGAGCAAAGAGGGGGACCUUCGGGCCUCUCGCGUCAGGAUUAGCCCAGGUGGGAUUAGCUAGUUGGUGGGGUAAUGGCUCACCAAGGCGACGAUCCCUAGCUGGUCUGAGAGGAUGAUCAGCCACACUGGAACUGAGACACGGUCCAGACUCCUACGGGAGGCAGCAGUGGGGAAUAUUGCACAAUGGGGGAAACCCUGAUGCAGCCAUGCCGCGUGUAUGAAGAAGGCCUUCGGGUUGUAAAGUACUUUCAGUUGUGAGGAAGGCGUUGGAGUUAAUAGCUUUAGCGUUUGACGUUAGCAACAGAAGAAGCACCGGCUAACUCCGUG